AACUUGUGUCAUGGGGUUUGUUGUACAGAUUAUUUCAUCACGCAGGUAUUAAGCCUAGUACCCAUUAGUUAUGUUUCCUGAUCCUCUGCCUGCUUCCACUCUCCAGCCUCUAAUAGUUUCCAGUGUGUG